AGGCGCCAGGAGCCGACGAAGGACGUGGCGAACAACGAAACUGCCUCGGGGAGCUGUAAGCAAGCUUUGAUCCGGGGGUGUCCGAAUGGGGAAACCCAGCUGUGGUAAUUCGCAGUUACUCGUAUCUGAAUACAUAGGAUGCGUAGAGGCAGACCAGGGGAACUGAAACAUCUAAGUACCCUGAGGAAGAGAAAACAAUAGUGAUUCCGUCAGUAGCGGCGAGCGAACGCGGAACAGCCUAAACCAGGGGGCUUGCCUCCUGG
rnacentral:rRNA from 1 species